GCCAACUUCUAAACACAUAGCGGGUUGAAAACCCUAAAGAGCAAAAACGGCUCUCUUCUCUGAGAAAGAAAAAAAACACGUUCUCCUCCUCUCAGUUCUCUCUCACUCUCACGAUUUUCUCUCGGUUCCUUCGAUUCAACUCUCGAUUCACAGCAACAACAAAAAAUACUCGCUGUUUCUCUGCUCGUGGCUUUUUUUUUCCGAGUGAACUACAACAACAAUGGCGUAAAAGCAGUGACAUCUCAAUUGCUCUCUCUCGCUCUCGCGUGCCCUCUCAGCUUCUAUCAUGAGCAGAUAAAUCGAAAGAUGAAAAAUCGAAACUCUGCGACCUCUUUCGAUCUCGCGUCUCUCAGGUUCACUCGGUUUCUCUCGAUGCAAGAUUCAACAAAAUAAAAUCACGACGCAAGUACAUAAUCAAACAAAGAGGAACUCUAACCCCAGUAUGACCCAAACAGACCCCAAUUCAUUAUUGAUUCAGUGAUGACAAGUUACAGAACAUAAAAAAACGAAAUCAACGAAAGAAACGAAAUCGACCUUCAGGUCCUCAUGCCAUAUGGAACAAGGCCUUUGGAAGCAUAUACGAAAAAUGUUUUGGAGAAUGGAAAUUCUGAGGACCAAGAUUGAAGCAUAAGUUCAGAACUGUUCUUUUUAUUUUACGUGACAAUUUGUGCAAUUCAGUUGUAAUCUCUCAAAUCAAAUGAUCAAGGAUUAGAAUAAGUCUUGUAAUGUUCAAAUGAGGCUGGAAUGAAAAUUCUAUAUUUUUGUAUGACGUAAUAUUAAUUAUAAA